AGCGAACGCUGGCGACAUGCCUAACACAUGCAAGUCGCACGGGGGGGCUUCGGCCUCCCAGUGGCGGACGGGUGAGGAACGCGUAGGGACCUGUCGAGGGGUGGGGGAUAACCGCGGGAAACUGCGGCUAAUACCGCAUGACGCCGCGGCGUGACAGCCGGGGCCAAAGGCGAAAGCCGCCCGCCGAGGGGCCUGCGUCCGAUUAGCUGGUUGGCGGGGUAGCGGCCCACCAAGGCGUCGAUCGGUAGCUGGUCUGAGAGGGUGAUCAGCCACACCGGGACUGAGACACGGCCCGGACUCCUACGGGAGGCAGCAGUGGGGAAUAUUGGACAAUGGGCGCAAGCCUGAUCCAGCAAUGCCGCGUGGGUGAAGAAGGUCUUCGGAUUGUAAAGCCCUUUCGGCGGGGACGAUGGUGACGGUACCCGCAGAAGAAGCCCCGGCUAACUUCGUG
rnacentral:rRNA from 1 species